UACGAAGGGGGCUAGCGUUGUUCGGAUUUACUGGGCGUAAAGCGCACGUAGGCGGGUUGUUAAGUCAGGGGUGAAAUCCUGGAGCUCAACUCCAGAACUCGUCCUUGAUACUGGCAACCUAGAGGCUGGAAGAGGUUAGUGGAAUUCCCAGUGUAGAGGUGAAAUUCGUAGAUAUUGGGAAGAACACCAGUGGCGAAGGCGGCUAACUGGUCCAGAUCUGACGCUGAGGUGCGAAAGCGUGGGGAGCAAACAGGG
rnacentral:rRNA from 1 species